rnacentral:rRNA from 1 species
CCUACGGGUGGCAGCAGUGAGGAAUAUUGGGCAAUGGGCGAGAGCCUGAACCAGCCAAGUCGCGUGAGGGAGUACUGCCCUAUGGGUUGUAAACCUCUUUUGUCGGGGAGCAAAAGCCGGACGUGUCCGGCUGUGAGAGUACCCGAAGAUAAAGCAUCGGCAAACACCGUGCCAGCAGCCGCGGUAAUACGGAGGAUGCGAGCGUUAUCCGGAUUUAUUGGGUUAAAGGGGUGCGCAGGCGGAUUUUUAAGUCAGCGGUCAAAUCGUGGGGCUCAACCCCAUCCAGCCGUUGAAACUGGCGUUCUUGAGUGGGCGAGAAGUAUGCGGAAUGCGUGGUGUAGCGGUGAAAUGCAUAGAUAUCACGCAGAACACCGAUGGCGAAGGCAGCAUGCCGGCGACCAACUGACGCUGAAGCACGAAAGCGUGGGUAUCGAACAGGAUUAGAUACCCGAGUAGUC